rnacentral:lncRNA from 1 species
GUGUGGGAGAUGUAGAGAAGUUUUGCAGGUCAGACAAAAGAAGAAGAAAAAAAAUAAUAAUUUGAAUUUUCACUGUAAUGUGACGCAAUUUGAACGCGGGAAGUCACGGCCGACAUCAUUUGCCCAUUUAUGGCUGUGGACGUGUAAGAAAAAAAAAAGGAAUAAACGACCUUUAGGAAAAAGUAUUUUGCAAUAACCAAUGACUAGGCAAGGACGUUGAAACGGUGAAAAAAAAAAGGGGGGAAUAUUCCGAACUGUUCAUCUCAAGUUAUUGGGUAAAGUCACGCAAGGUGGGAAAAAACAUCGAAUAGCUAUUAACGGACAGUUUGACAAUAUUGACUUUUUCGGGGUCGACACACGCACAAGACGAAUGAGCAUUCAAAUAGAUAAAAUUAUUAUUUUUUUUGCUUCUUAAUGGUAAUAAAAAUAAAUUUCAUCAGAGAAAUCCUUUAGUUCGCAGAAAUCAACAUUCAAAUAAAACAACUCAAUCGACUAGUCUUAAAUCCUUUUGUUUAAACUGAUAGUAUAAAACAACAAAGAAAAAAGAGCGGCUAUCUUAAUUUGAGAAUUGAAUAGGUUGCCAUGCGACGGACCUGCCGGGAGUUAAAGUUCCGGGAAAAAAUGGCACGAUCCAUCUUUUGAACAAGAAAAAACUGUUGGGCUGAAACAAAUAGAAACCAGACGUCAACCGGCUCAGAAUAAAAAGGACUGUUCCAGGAAAACAAGUGAGAUGGCGUGACUAUAUAUACAAACAAUAAGGUCAAUACCUAUACGUUUCGCAAACAAGAGGCGCGGUUUUCCCGCGUUGACUAAUAAUCCAGAGAUUUAUUAUUUUUAUUUUUAUUUUGGCAAACGUCCAAAAGUUGCGUGUGUGGCAAAAGGAUAUUUCUAUGGGUGGGUAACUCGUCAAAAAUGAUCUAGGACAAUUUCCCGACGUAUGAGAAUUCAUUACAAACACAAUGACUAGGCAUAAAUUUCUACCUGAUUUCUUUUAAAUAGCAUAAUCAAAAUUCUUGAAAAAAACAAAAACUUGUUUUUAAGUUAACAUAUUCCAAGGCUAAAUAAAUUAAAACAAGAAAAUGUGGGGAAAAAAAAAAAAUUAAAUCGCCGUUACGGAGUUUUGAACAAUCGCCCUUAAGGAUAGAGUUUGGAUAUUUUUUGAGGUCCACGCUGGCAAACGGUGCCCACGUGAUCGCGGGCACGUUGAGUUCAUCGAGUCCAUUCGGUUCUAGGCUACUCACUAUAACAACAAAAAAACUAGAAUCUCCAGCUUAUUAUGGGCUGAAAAUUCAAGUUGUUUUAAUUUUUGGUGGUUUUUUAUCGGCUUUUAUUCAAAUAGAAUUUGUUUUGUGCAAACGAAAAAGAAAAACAAGAACUUGUGAUUGGAUAUUUUUACAUGUAUCGCCAAAUCACGUUUCCCCUUCGUCUGUUUCGUUCGCCAACGUUUGCAAAUUCCAAACUGGAAUAGGGAAAACGAGGAAACAGAAAUAAAAAGGAGUCUCGUGAAACGACCUUGACUCGGUUAAAAAAGGCACCCAACAACACCAGCGCAGUCACCAUGACGGAGAAGAAAAUGUGGGACCCCCUUUUGCAGCCACCUAGCGGCAGUCGCCUUGGCAAGAGAUACGGCCAGUUACAGCAAAACGACGAUGAAAAAUAAAUUAAAAAAAAUAAAAAAAUUCACUGCGUCAACAAGUUCAUCGGACGAACCGUCGUACCACCACCAGAGUUUCGUUUUUUAAAAGCAUAAAAAUAAAAUAGACAUAAAUCAAG